AACGAACGCUGGCGGCAUGCCUAACACAUGCAAGUCGAACGAGACCUUCGGGUCUAGUGUCGCACGGGUUCGUAACGCGUGGGAACCUGCCCUUAGGCUCGGAAUAACUCCCCGAAUGGGGUGCUAAUACCGGAUAUUGUCUUCGGUCCAAAGGUUUAUCGCCUUUGGAUGGGCUCGCGUUGGAUUAGCUAGUUGGUAGGGUAAAAGCCUACCACGGCGACGAUCCAUAGCUGGUCUGAGAGGAUGAUCAGCCACACUGGGACUGAGACACGGCCCAGACUCCUACGGGAGGCAGCAGUGGGGAAUAUUGGACAAUGGGCGAAAGCAUGAUCGAGCAAUGCCGCGUGAGUGAUGAAGGCCUUAGGGUUGUAAAGCUCUUUUACACGGGAUGAUAAUGACAGUACCGGGAGAAUAAGCACCGGCUAACUCCGUG
rnacentral:rRNA from 1 species